CGCCCUGCAGGGGAGUUACGGGAUGGGUGAGGCCGCCUGGGGCGCAGCUGGCGCCUCCGUGGGACGCGAGAACACGCGCUGUCAUCACAUCUCAGAUGAGGUCGUCCCCGGGUUUCCUGCUGGGACGUCCGCUCGUGCCUCCAGGUUUUCAGCGGCUGGAGUGAGUUUCACUCCCAAGGCUUUCUGGAGAGGGAGCAUGGUAGAAAGGAAGGAAGCUUUGUUGUCACAGAGAGAAGCAGAACUGCUGGAUCGAAGAGCAAGUAUUUUCUUUCCAGUGGUUGUACCAAAUUUCCCUUCAAAUGCUCGUGUGUAAUUUUGGACGAUGACGAAUAAGGCUGCUGUGAACAUUCUGGAACAUGUCUUUUGGUGCACACGGAGAGGAAAUGCUAGGCCCUCGGGCAAGCACGUGUUCAUCUUCAGUCAUGUACUUAGUACUUUCGGACGGUUUAGUCCUUCUUGUGCUGAUGCUGUGGGUGCCACACAGAUCCUCCCUCCACGACCAAACACUGGUUCCCCACCUGUCAGGACGUUGGCUGCUGAUGGCUCUCAGCUGAGACCCCUCCCCAGGCACUGCACUCAGCUGAAGGGAGCUGCCUGGCCAGACAAUGUACCCUUAGCCUGGUGGCAGCCCAGAUGCAAUGACUGAUGGAUGUGAGGAUAGAAAAGUCCG
rnacentral:lncRNA from 1 species